ensembl:lncRNA
GAACCACUGAGCUAAAUCCCUGGCUCCUUAAUUUAUUAUUUUUAAAAUUAAUCUUUAGAAUAUUUAUUUACAACAAUGUGCAGUUGUUGUAAAGGCUUCACUUGGAGUUGUGAAGUCAAAUACUCUGAACCAAAGCUGUUUUAAGUUUUUAAAAGUAGGUCAAAUCUUAAAUCCCAAACGAAUGCCUUCUAACACUUUUAAAGUCUUUAUGAGCAAACUUUUUUAUUUUUUUAAGUUAGCAAGAUAAAAAGUUUUAGCCCUGGAAUGGUUCAAAAUAGCCAGAUGCCCAGGAGGUGGUAGGCCAGUUUAAUAGCAGAUUCUCCUAUUUGCCCUUUGCCUUUUAAAAUGAAUUUGACAAUGGACAAAUCACAAGUUCACUGAGCAUCAGGUUUCUCAUCUCAAAGGAUUGUUCCAAGUAUAAAGUAUACUAAGAGGGAUUGUAUUCCUAGCAUGUAGUACACGCAGUGUAAAUUACUAAUGUCUCAUUUUCUCAGCGUUCUCAUCCCUGAUUUCCAUGUAUCUGUGAGCAGGGGUCAAGAAAGAAGAUCUUCAUGCUUGGUGUAAGGAUGCAUCAUCUCCAGCCUCAAUGUACACCAUCGUGUGAAAGGACCCAUCAACAGCUGUAGAAUCUCUGCUGAGUCCUGGCUGCUCCUUUCAGGCAGCCUUCCUGGAGAGCACUGAAUCCAGCUCCUGCCAGAAGGCUAUAACAUGGGGUCCAUACUUUGUCUCCAGUAAAACUUGGAAUGCUGCCCAAUCCAAACAGGUUGGAGGAAGUUAGAUUUUUUUUCUUUCUUCAUUGUUAGAAGAUUAUGGAAUCAUCAUCAUGAGUUGUUCUGCUCACAAAGAUUGGUAGGUGUGGGAUCUCCAAGGUAUUGUCUAGACCCUUUGUAUUUCUUUUUCCUUUUUUUUUUUUUUUUGGUACCGGGGAUCGAACUUGGUGCCUUGCACUUGCAAAGUAAGCAACAGAACCACUGAGCUAAAUCCCCGGCCUCGUAGACCCUUUGUAAUAGGGCCACGUUUGAGAUGACAGCUAUCUAAUAUUCAGGAAGUAGCUUUUACCUAUGGUCCUGGAUCCUUAUUGAUGCUGUUCUGGGUUAAUUAAAAGAGGCCCAUAUUUCUACUCUAGCUCAGAUACAAAUAGAACCUGCAUAGGGGCAGGAGGUUUUAUGACCAGAUAUACAAGAGUGGCACAGACAAGUGGGACCGUCAAGAGAAAGGACAAAAGAAAUAAAACCAUGAGGCAAGCUUGCCACAAAAUGUGAUGUCUAAUGACAAGGGCCUCUUUUUCACUGGAGGAAGUUAAACAAAUGAGAGGUAAGGACCUUUGGGAAGAGUGACAAUUCACUGAUGACAGAGAUCAAGAAGAAUGACUAUCCCAUCUCAUCCUGGGAAGGUAAGCAGAAUAAGGGGUAGAAUAAUGGCUCUCAAGCUGGCUCAGCAAGUUACCUGGACAAUUUUAUAAGCAGGAAAACUAAUCUAGGCCACAAUUUCUGAUUUAAGCCUGCAGAGCCAAAUGUAUUUAAAACGUUUUCAGCUCCACCCCAUGUGAGAAAGCAGACCUAGAGUGGCACCCCUCUCCCCAGUGUGAGAGAGCAGACCUGUGAUGGAGGAGUGCUGCCUCGCACCCAGGGGAGCACAGCACAGGGCAGUGGAGGCAAUGACUAACCAACCGACCCAAUCCUGGACUCCUGGAUGAAGACAACACCUGGGGAGAGAAGGGAGCAACCAGACCCCAUGACUGUUGACAUUAAGUCCAACAGCCCACUUGAACCUCUGCCUUACAGCCUACAUCCAGCAGAGAACAGAGGGCUGAUCUCAUUCCCCAUUCCUGGUAGAAACAAGGACAUGCUUGGCUUUAACCAUAACCACAAGUCUGGGGGGAAUGAACAGAGGGGCCUCUAGUGCAAGGAAG